rnacentral:rRNA from 1 species
UACGGAGGGGGCAAGCGUUGUUCGGAUUUACUGGGCGUAAAGGGCGCGUAGGCGGAUCAAUCAGUCAGGGGUGAAAUCCCGAGGCUCAACCUCGGAACUGCCUUUGAUACUGUUGAUCUUGAGUCCGGAAGAGGUGAGUGGAACUGCGAGUGUAGAGGUGAAAUUCGUAGAUAUUCGCAAGAACACCGGUGGCGAAGGCGGCUCACUGGUCCGGAACUGACGCUGAGGCACGACAGCGUGGGGAGCAAACAGG